ensembl:misc_RNA Y_RNA Y RNA
GGCUGGUCCGAAGGGAGUGAGUUAUCUCACUUGAUUAUUCACAGUCAGUUACAGAUUGAACUCCUUGUUCUACUACUUUCCCCUCUCCUCACUACUGCACUUGACUAGUCUUAA